rnacentral:pre_miRNA from 1 species
AGAUUUUCUAAUCCGUGCUGAGAUUUCGUCCGAUACCAACCCAUUAGUGUUGACCAGACUUCGGAGAUAAGUGAAGUU